GCCCGGUAGUCCAGCGGUUAGCACGUCGGCUUCACAGUGCGGAGGUACCGUGUUCAAUUCCAGCUCCGGCCUCCCUGUGUGGAGUUUGCAUGUUCUCCCCGGGCCUGCGUGGGUUUUCUCCGGGUGCUCCGGUUUCCUCCCACAUUCCAAAAACAUGCAUGGCAGGCUGAUUGAACGCUCUAAAUUGUCCCUAGGUGUGAGUGUGAGCGUGGAUGGUUGUUCGUCUCUGUGUGCCCUGCGAUUGGCUGGCAACCGAUUCAGGGUGUCCCCCGCCUACUGCCCGAAGACAGCUGGGAUAGGCUCCAGCGCCCCCCGCGACCCUAGUGAGGAUCAAGCGGCUCGGAAGAUGAAUGAAUGAAUGAAUGAAAUACGUACAGUACAUUUUCCCUCAUCGUCGUUCGUCGUUUACAUUUCAUUGCAAAUCUACGACAUUUAUAGAAUAAAAUGGAUACUUUUCUCUCAGUAUAGUUCCCUGAACCAUCAGCAUUACAGUGGCGCCUCGAGAUACAAGUUGACCGAAGUUUCAUGAAACUUCAGACCUCAAACGGACCGACGUAUUUUGCGAGUUGAGUAGUUUUGCUCCCACGAAAGUUAUUUCGGUGGACGAAAACGAACAAAAUGAGUGAAACUAAAAUUGAAAAAAAAAGUUUUUCGUUCAUGAAAUAAAAUCUUUAAAAAAAAAAUUUACUCAUUCAAACUACAUUUUAUGAAUACAAAAUUGACUAAAACUAACUAGAAUUAUAGCCAAAAAAAACCUCAUUUUAUGUCAUACAUGAGCCUGAAUAACUCAUUCAAACAUUUUCAAUACAAAGCGCAAAACAAAACAAAACAACAAUGAAAAUUUCCAAACUAUUCGCGCAAAGCCCUGUCUCCGACCAACCAGCCACCUAAGCGGUUAAAAAAAUUGCUCAUAUACUUGAAGCCUUCUUGAUUCUGAAGGCACUUCUCCACAUAAAGGAACCUCAGAACAAGCAGCAUAGCCGAGAGAAAGACCACGAAACGAAAAGAAUAGACGAUUGCAAAUACAUGAAUACAAUUUCAUGGGAAAAAUAUUUCACCUAAAUUUUGAUGGCAAAUUUAGGUGCAAACAGCCCAGCACUGAUGAUUUCCACUAAUGCAACAAUGGCUCUUCUUCAUUUGUCCUCUACCAGCCAGCGCACAUACGCAGCUUUUCGCCGUCCCCUCUUCAUCAUCCGUCUGCCUCCUCCGCUCCCCCCUGUCGGCGCCGUGCGCUCUUGAAAAGGCCGAGGAUGACAAGACCACUCGACGGGCACGCUGAUGACAGUUUGGCGUCAGGAGCGACGAGUGCUUCUGAGUGAUGUCGGGGUGCCGGCGGCACCUUCGUGUGCCAAGAUGGACAAGUGGGAAGACGACAGAGGACGCGGGAGGGCAAAGAGCUGACUGCCCGGUGCGAUGGACUUGAAGGGAACGGCGUUUUCAAGAUACCGGUUCGACGUCAGCACUGGUGUCCAACUCAAGGCCGGCGGGCGAAAUCCAUGCGUAGCAGGGGAACAAAUGUAACCCCGUCACUAAAUACCAUCCCCAGACCAGGCCGCGUCUUCCAAAGCCACACAUGCUCAAAGUCACAGACACCACAACAUGAUGAUGGACAAACACUAUCCACUAUCAUUAUCACAUGACCCCAUGACGAGCCUCAAAAUCUCUCACCUAAUUGGAGAUUUCCAAACCACGCCGACACCCGAGGAAAUUAGCACAGGCGCUGCUUGGCCCGACACUUCCGUUACCAUGGCAACUGCAUUGUUCAAUCCCAAAUCUGCGUGCGCUGGGACCUCAAAAGCCUCCGAGAGAUAAAGGGGAGACGGCUCCUAACAUCCCAUUUCAAGGAAAACACAAACACACUUACACACUCUGGAUAUAUAGCUUAUUUAAAAAAAAAAAAGUGAACAUACUCGGCUUCCUUUCCAUUUGAAAUCCCAUGCUGUGCUCAAAGACCACGUCUGGUUGGCCCAAAUCUAUGUUGUACUGGGCAAUGACUAAUUCAAUGUCUUCUGGUGGCCAGGCAAAUGUAUCAAUUUAUAUGCAGACGCAGACACACACACACACACACACACAGACACACACACACACACACACACAC